rnacentral:rRNA from 1 species
CCUACGGGAGGCAGCAGUGGGGAAUAUUGGGCAAUGGGCGAAAGCCUGAUCCAGCAAUGCCGCGUGAGUGAAGAAGGCCUUCGGGUUGUAAAGCUCUUUUACCCGGGAAGAUAAUGACUGUACCGGGAGAAUAAGCUCCGGCUAACUCCGUGCCAGCAGCCGCGGUAAUACGGAGGGAGCUAGCGUUGUUCGGAAUUACUGGGCGUAAAGCGUACGUAGGCGGCUUGGUAAGUCAGAGGUGAAAGCCCACGACUCAAUCGUGGAACUGCCUUUGAGACUGCUUCGCUUGAAGAUGGGAGAGGUUAGUGGAAUUCCGAGUGUAGAGGUGAAAUUCGUAGAUAUUCGGAAGAACACCAGUGGCGAAGGCGGCUAACUGGACCAUUCUUGACGCUGAGGUACGAAAGCGUGGGGAGCAAACAGGAUUAGAUACCCUGGUAGUCCACGCCGUAAACGAUGAUAACUAGCUGUCGGGGCUCUUGGAGCUUCGGUGGCGCAGCUAACGCAUUAAGUUAUCCGUCUGGGGAGUACGGCCGCAAGGUUAAAACUCAAAGGAAUUGACGG